UACGUAGGUGGCAAGCGUUGUCCGGAAUUAUUGGGCGUAAAGAGCUCGUAGGCGGUCUGUUGCGUCCGCUGUGAAAACUCGGGGCUUAACCCCGAGCCUGCAGUGGAUACGGGCAGACUAGAGGUAGGUAGGGGAGAAUGGAAUUCCCGGUGUAGCGGUGAAAUGCGCAGAUAUCGGGAGGAACACCGGUGGCGAAGGCGGCUCUCUAGUACGGUACUGACGCUGAGACGCGAAAGCGUGGGGAGCGAACAGG
rnacentral:rRNA from 1 species